GCUGGACGGUGAGCGAGGCUGUCCCCAGGGGCCUCCCGCUGCGCAGGCGGGAAACUGAGGCCCUCCGGCCGCGCAGCCUGGACUGCGCAGGGCGGGGAGGCGCAGGGACCAGGAAGGACGCCCCCGGGUCCCUGCGCCUGGAGCCCCGUUCGCUUGGUCCUGGCCUCUGCGAUAUUUACGGAGCGCCUACUGAGUGCCCGUCAUGGAGUAUUCAGCAGUGAGCAAACUAGAUUAAGCCCUCAGGGAUCUUACAGAGGUGAAUCAAAUUGAUGUGUUUCAUCUUCAGAGAAAUUCAUGGCAAGACCUCUGACACUCUAGAAAUCAGGUUUCUGAUAAACUUUCAGAUCAUAAAACUGAACUGGAUUUUAAGAAAUCUUUUAAGUUAUCAACAAUUUGGUAAGAUAUACCUUUGUGAACAAAGAUGGAACAUUUACUUUUUCUCCCUACCUGAUCCCUUGGGAAUUCAGAAGCUCUCGACUGGACUCCCCUGGCCUAAGUUAUUGCCUUUGGUCUCACCAACUGCUCGCAGUGCCCUCCUUGGAAAAGAUGAACUGACCCCAUGUGGGAUGGUCACCAACAGAUCGUUGUUGGUACACAACCUUCUGCUGAUCCCUUGUUGUCUUAUGCUAACAUGACCAACUACUAUAAGUCUCUAAUCUCUAAUACUCAACCCCAUCAACGGGAUAAAGAAGCUUUCCCAGAUUCCAAUUUAAAGGAUCCUGUUGGUCACAGUCUAGAGCUUGGUAAUUGGGUAUUCUGGAAAUGACAUGAGAAGAAGACAACCCUUGAGCUCCAUUGGACAGGACCCUACCAAGUGCUCUUAACCAGUGACCCUGCCGCAGAACUAGAAGGCCUUGAACCUUGGAGAUACGUCUCACAGCUGAAGAGAUCUCCACCUGACAUCUGGUCCUGUACAAAGGCUGGAGACCUCCCCAUCAAAUUGACUAAGAAGAGAAGCCGCUGACAUCUGGGGCAGAGAGCUCCUCCCGAUGC
rnacentral:lncRNA from 1 species